ACAUGCUGCUGCACAUUUAGGAGAUCAACAUUCAGCAAAACAAAUACCAAGGACACUAUAGUAGUUUGUUUUCACAAAAUCUCAGCAAGUAUUUAGAUCAACAUGGAGAGUGAACACACCAACGAAACUGAUUUCAACUACGGAUACAGCUCCAGGGUUCAACCGGCGACGGAGAUAACUCCUGAUCAACCGACUUCAAUGGCUGUAUAUCAGGAGCCUCUUAACCCAAACACCUCGGAAAGAACUGGAUCCUGGCAUCAGCCUGUGGAAUCAGAUUUCUCCCAAACUGUUAUUAAAUCAGAGCUUCCUGAUGCAGAAGCUGUACAUGCUGCUGUCAAGGCUGAGAUCGAAGCAAAAAUGGAUUCAAGUCUUGUCAAAACAGAACCAAAGUAUUCCAGAUCAAGAUCAAGAUCUGGUUCAAGAUCAACCAGAAAAUCCAGAUCCAGUCGAUCUAAAUCUCGUGAUCGUCGGCGAAGACGUUCCAGGUCCCGUCACAGGCGGAGAACAAGGUCAAGAUCUAAGUCUAGAGGACGACGAGCAGGUUCCAGGGAUAAAUAUGGCAGGGUCAAACGACAGGGUGCGUCGAAAUCCACCUCCAGAUCAAGAUCUAGAACUAGGUCAAGGUCAAGAUCAAGGGGGCAUGGAGAAAGAAGGGGUAGUAGGGACGGUGAUAGAAGAUCCAGACGAAGACGAUCUCCAGAUAAAACCCAGCAGAUGAUGUUGAUAAGGAGGGAGGUCGAGGCCAUGUAUGACAAUGCUAUGCAGGCUAUGAUUCGUAAGAAAGAGGAAGAGUAUGCUCAGCUGCAGGCUCUUGUUGUUGGAGCAACUGGUUUUGUUACUGGAGGAGAAGCAAAUGCUAGUGCUGGAUACACUCCUGUCCUACCUAUCCAACCUGCUACAUCUGGCUGGAGAUCAGAACCAAGCCGACCCUCUAUGGCAGCAAUGAGGGAUUCUGCCUCCUCAGCUGUGGCUAAUGUUGUGGCCAGCAUGCCCCCCCUACCAGGACUACCCACACUAGGAGAGUUGGGUCUAGAUAAACGGCACGGAAUCUACAAUAUUUUACUGGAGCUAAAGAACCGGUUUUUCCCGGUAGUUGAACUCUCCGAGAUACCGGAACACGUGGCAACAUUUGUGACCAGUGCAGAGGGGUCUAGGUUCAUUCAGGAUAAUCUAGACCGAGCCACACUUGCUGAUAAAGAACUCAUUUUUAAGAAAAUCCUACCGAAGACUGUUUGGCUCUCCAUGAAUGUUUUUGGAAAUUAUGUAAUUCAGAAAUAUUUUGAGUGUGGAACUCCAAUGCAGAUUCAUAUUUUGUUCCAGAAAAUACUUCCAGACACAAGAAAGCUGACAUUAAAUAAAUACGGAAGCCGAGUUGUACAAACUGCACUUUCAUACAUUUCUAAGGAGCAACAUCAACAAUGGGCACAGGAGAUAAACAAGGAUGUUGUUGCCUUCUGCCGGGACGGGAACGCGAACCAUGUUAUACAAAAAAUAAUGGAGACUGCUGAGGAUUUAAGGGCGCCACAUAUACAGCUCAUGCUCUACAGAAUUAACGAUGUAGCGCUAACCCUUUGCUCCGAUAGGUUUGGUUGCAGAGUACUGCAGAAGGUUAUCCAGGUGUUUGGGGAUGACCAACGUAAACAAUGUAAAGCUGCUGUAUUGCAGAUGAUGACUGAGAUGACAACCAGUCCAUUCGGAAACUACGUUAUACAAGAUCUUAUGGAAUAUGGAAACCCAGAUGACAGAAAUAGAGUUUUUCAAGAAUGUUUGGGGAAUGUCCUCAAAAUGUCAAGGAAUAAGUUUGCGAGUAAUAUAAUCGAACAUGUUCUAAAGAAAGGAACUACAGAGGAGAAGAUUCAGGUUGUCAGGGAGAUAUGUAACGUUGAGUCCCUCGACACUAUGAUGAAGGACCAGUUUGGUAAUUAUGUUGCUCAGCGGAUGAUUGAAUGCUCUGAAGUUGAUGUUCUUCAAGUUAUCCACAGUAAAAUGCUCCACGUCAUUCAUGACGUAACGCCCUCUGUCGACGACAAAAUGCGGAAAAAUCUUGAAGUUAAUCUCCAAAAGCCGAAUAUUGUCGAGCUUGCAAAGGUUUACUGUCAAAAUAUCGAAGCAUUUGAGUAUGUCAGACAUAAGCAUGCAGAUAUCUUGCCUAAGAUGGAUCAGUGGUUGUCCGAUAUAUCUCAGCAUUGCGCGGUAAAUAUCGAAAACCACGAGGUUUCAAGACUGACAGAGAUCCUAGCGGAUAUUAACGGAACUAAUGAAAAUGGUGAUCUUGAUUCAAUGCGACAGGAUCUACGAAGCUACCUGAAAUGUUUGGUACAAGAUUAUUGUAAAAAGGCAGCAACCUUCCAUGUCAAGGUUUCUAAUACGAAAGAGAUGCUGGAAUCCCAGGGUAUUACAUUCAAUCCUAUGAUUGGUACAGUUAUGCAGGGACUACAACCUGUAGAAACUACAGGAGGUGAACAAGGGGGGCCUGGGUACAGUUCAGGGGGUCCGGGAUACAGCUCAGGGGGAGCUGGAUACAGCUCGGGUGUUCCUGGAUACAACCCAGCAGCUUAUCAGACGGGGGGAUACAGUGACAGAGGAUUUGGUGGGGGUGGAUACAGAGGUCGAGGAUACAACAGGGGAGGUGGACAUGGUGGAUCAGGGGGUUCUGGUGGAAUGUAUCAUAAACGCCAAGAGAGAGAUGGGUAUGACCAGAACGGAUCAGGAUACUACUAAACUUGGAUAUCUGGAUAUAAACAAUCUUGAUAUCUAUGUCGGGAUUUACGGGAUGUUUGACGAUAUAAUCGUCUGUGUAUUUCGUACUUUGUACAGGGUACACAAUAUAUAGGAUUCAGGACACAGAACCUGGAUUUCAUUUUAAUCAUUACUUACUUUUUAAACAUUUUUAAAAUGUUAAAAUUUGAUGCUAUAGCAUGAAGGAGCAUCAAAUUUAAAAUUUGCGAUCUAAUUGAACCUAAUUAGUUUAUCAGUUAGAUCUAUAUUUUAUUUCUACGACUGAACUAUAAAGCAAAAUUCUUCUUGUAUAAGUUGAUCAGACAAUUUUCUGUGUAAGCUUGAUAAACGUUUUGUUUAUGUUUUAAUUAUGUCUAGUUCAUAGUUGUAACUUACUUUAACAUUUUAUCUUUUUUACGACAGCAUGCAUUAUAUAUUUUACAUUUUAUGUUUUAAGUUUUACAUGAUCAAGAAAGAAUCCAAUUAUUUUCCUGUAGCUAUUCCUGGGUCUGAAAGAUGUCCCUUUUCAUAAUCCCUAUUUGACCCAGCCGCUAAGGUAAGUUUUACAUCAUCUGUAAUGUAUAUCUUUUACUGUACAUCGACAAAGAAGCUGUAAAAGAUCAAAAUGUAUUUUCUGUCAUUCAUUAUAAGAAUCAUUGUUCAUAAACUAUAAAGGAGAAUUCUAAUGUGUUUAAUUGAUGUUAUGAUUUAAUGUACAUUGUACUGUAUUUAUAUACAGAUCAAUCAUUUAUUGGAACAUCUUUAAUAAAAGUUUUUUUUCUAGAUAAAAUGUUUUGUUUGAAGAAGUAGACGAUUUGAACAUUUUGGCAGAACUAGUUUACAAGUUUAUUUUUUGGUUGGAUGCUGAUACAGCUGAUUGGAGAUCAUUGAACAGAUUUACUGUACCCAGCUAAAUACUCAGUAAAGAAAACAGCUGCUAAUGUUGUAUUUUGAGUGUUACUAGUUCGUUAUUCUAAUCAGAUAAUAAAGUUUUUAAUUUUC
rnacentral:misc_RNA from 1 species